UUGAAUGAUGACUUGGAUUGUCGGAUACCC
rnacentral:piRNA from 1 species